UACCAGCACCCCGAGUGGUCGGGACGAUUAUUGGGCCUAAAGCAUCCGUAGCCGGUUCUGCAAGUCCCCCGUUAAAUCCAGCUGCUCAACAGAUGGGCCGCGGAGGAUACUACAGAGCUAGGAGGCAGGAGAGGCAAGCGGUACUCAGUGGGUAGGGGUAAAAUCCGUUGAUCCAUUGAAGACCACCAGUGGCGAAGGCAGCUUGCCAGAACGCGCUCGACGGUGAGAGAUGAAAGCUGGGGGAGCAAACCGG
rnacentral:rRNA from 1 species